AUUGAACGCUGGCGGCAGGCCUAACACAUGCAAGUCGAACGCGGCGCGGACGGGUGAGUAAUGUGUGGGAAAGUCCCUGAUGGGGGGGUAACAAUACGGGAAAGGGUAGCUAAUACCGCAAUACAUGAGGAGUGCCCAGGUGGGAUUAGCUAGUAGGUGGGGUAAAGGCUCACCUAGGCGACGAUCCCUAGCUGGUCUGAGAGGAGGACCAGCCACACUGGAACUGAGACACGGUCCAGACUCCUACGGGAGGCAGCAGUGGGGAAUAUUGCACAAUGGGCGCAAGCCUGAUGCAGCCAUGCCGCGUGUAUGAAGAAGGCCUUAGGGUUGUAAAGUACUUUCAGUGGGGAGGCGUUACCCGCAGAAGAAGCACCGGCUAACUCCGUGCCAGCAGCCGCGGUAAUUC
rnacentral:rRNA from 1 species